AUUGAACGCUGGCGGCAGGCCUAACACAUGCAAGUCGAGCGCCCCGCAAGGGGAGCGGCGGACGGGUGAGUAACGCGUGGGAACGUGCCUCUUGCUACGGAAUAGCCUCGGGAAACCGGGAGUAAUACCGUAUGUGCCCUACGGGGGAAAGAUUUAUCGGCAAGAGAUCGGCCCGCGUUGGAUUAGGUAGUUGGUGGGGUAAUGGCCUACCAAGCCGACGAUCCAUAGCUGGUUUGAGAGGAUGAUCAGCCACACUGGGACUGAGACACGGCCCAGACUCCUACGGGAGGCAGCAGUGGGGAAUCUUAGACAAUGGGCGCAAGCCUGAUCUAGCCAUGCCGCGUGAGCGAUGAAGGCCUUAGGGUUGUAAAGCUCUUUCAGUGGGGAAGAUAAUGACUGUACCCACAGAAGAAGCCCCGGCUAACUCCGUG
rnacentral:rRNA from 1 species